rnacentral:lncRNA from 1 species
AUUUAAUCAAAGAGCUGAUAGCUCUGAGGUGGAAGAAGGUGAAUAAAAGGUAACCUGAAUUACCACAAAAGCAGCCCCACUUACCAAGGCUGCUUUGAUCCAUUAUCGUUAUGAUGUAUUUUUUUUUCUUCAAACAAGAAAAGGUCAUAAGUACAUGGAUUUCCCAUCCGUACAAUCAUUUUCUAUGUUCAGUGGACUGUGAAAAUUAGGUAAAAUCUUUAAAUUGGCAGUAAAAUUAAGAAGAUCAUAUCAUAAGGAACACAUGUGCACUAAGUUUCAAGUUGAUUGGAUUUCAACUUCAUCAAAAACUACCUCGACCAUAAACUUUAUAACCAGAAGCAGGACGAACGGACAGACCAGAAAACAUAAUGCCCAUAAAUGGAGCAUAAAAAUAGUAAGGCUUGUUACAUACCCGCCAACUUUUGAAAGUUCCCAUAGGGGUUUUUAGUGCACAACAACAA